UUGGCUUAGAAGCAGCCAUCCUUGAAAGAGUGCGUAAUAGCUCACUGGUCAAGUGGUUCUGCGCCGACAAUGUAGCGGGGCUCAAGCGUACCGCCGAAGCUGUGGCAACAACACGAUUGUGCUGGCGCCAGGAACUGGAGUGCUGGUGUGUUGUUGGGUAGGGGAGCGUCCUGCACGAGGUGAAGCCUGGAGGUGACUUCUGGUGGAUUGUGUGGGAGUGAGAAUGCAGGCAUGAGUAACGAAUCUGCGGUGAGAAUCCGCAGCGCCGAUUGACUAAGGGUUCCAGGGCUAGGUUUAUCCGCCCUGGGUUAGUCGGGUCCUAAGGCGAGGCCGACAGGCGUAGUCGAUGGACAACCAGUUGAUAUUCUGGUACCGCGUUGUGACCGCCCAUGCUGAAGUCAUUGUGCUAACCAAUUUGCCCACCACACACUGGGCCUUCGGGUUUGGUGGUGUGUGUGGGUCUUGGGGUCCCGGUGAUUGUAGGCAAGCGUGUUAACAGGGGUGACGCAGACAGGUAGCUGCAGUGCGCCGAUGGUUGUGCGUAUUUAAGGUUGUGGCCCGUCCCUCAGGUAAAUCCGGGGGGCACUGUGGGUGAGAACUGAUGAGGGUGACACGGUUGUGUCGUCUUGUGGUGAUCCUAUGCUGCCGAGAAAAGCCUCGACGUGAGGGCAUGACGCGCCCGUACCCUAAACCGACUCAGGUGGUCAGGUAGAGUAUACCGAGGCGUUCGAGUGAAUCGUGGUUAAGGAACUCGGCAAAAUUCCUCCGUAACUUCGGGAUAAGGAGGACCCCGUGACUUCCCCGCGCCGUUGCGUGUGGGUGGGGUUGUGGGGUCGCAGAGAAUAGGGAGAAGCGACUGUUUAUCAAAAACACAGGUGCGUGCGAAGCCGUAAGGCGAUGUAUACGCACUGACGCCUGCCCGGUGCUGGAAGGUUAAGAGGAACCGUCAACACCCCCCGGGGUGUGAAGCGGUGAAUUUAAGCCCCAGUAAACGGCGGUGGUAACUAUAACCAUCCUAAGGUAGCGAAAUUCCUUGUCGGGUAAGUUCCGACCUGCACGAAUGGCGUAACGACUUCUCCGCUGUCUCAACCGCGAACUCGGUGAAAUUGCAGUACGAGUAAAGAUGCUCGUUUCGCGCAGAAGGACGGAAAGACCCCGGGACCUUUACUAUAGCUUGGUAUUGGUGUUCGCUUGGACUUGUGUAGGAUAGGUGGGAGACUGUGAAGCUGCCGCGCCAGCGGUGGUGGAGUCGUCGUUGAAAUACCAUUCUGGUUCAAGCGGUCACCUUAACCUUGGCCCGUGAUCCGGGUUGGGGACAGUGCCUGGUGGGUAGUUUAACUGGGGCGGUUGCCUCCUAAAAUGUAACGGAGGCGCUCAAAGGUUCCCUCAGCCUGGUUGGUAAUCAGGUGGCGAGUGCAAGUGUACAAGGGAGCUUGACUGUGAGACCGACGGGUCGAGCAGGUGCGAAAGCAGGAACUAGUGAUCCGGCCAUGGCACGUGGGUGCGUGGUCGCUCAACGGAUAAAAGGUACCCCGGGGAUAACAGGCUGAUCUUGCCCAAGAGUCCAUAUCGACGGCAUGGUUUGGCACCUCGAUGUCGGCUCGUCGCAUCCUGGGGCUGGAGUUGGUCCCAAGGGUUGGGCUGUUCGCCCAUUAAAGCGGUACGCGAGCUGGGUUCAGAACGUCGUGAGACAGUUCGGUCCCUAUCCUCUGUGCGCGCAGGAAAUUUGAGAAGGGCCGUCCCUAGUACGAGAGGACCGGGAUGGACGAACCUCUGGUGUGCCAGUUGUACCGCCAGGUGCAUGGCUGGUUAGCUACGUUCGGAAGGGAUAACCGCUGAAAGCAUCUAAGCGGGAAGCCUGCUCCAAGAUGAGGUUUCCACGCCCCCCCGUGGGGUGAGAGGCCCCCGCCAGACGAGCGGGUUGAUAGGCCAGAGGUGGAAGCACCGCGAGGUGCUCGCGAGCCGACUGGUACUAAUGGGCCAACACUAAACAAC
rnacentral:rRNA from 1 species